rnacentral:lncRNA from 1 species
AAUAUUGUAUUUCGUGAAUGGACACCAAAAAACCAUUUAUGAAAAGAUGGAGUAAUAUGUAUGCAUAAGAGCACUCACAAUGGCUACACGAUAGCCCUUACACGAUAGCACUAUCGUGUAAAUGUGCUAUCGUGUAAGCGUUGCGGGAGCACCUUACACGAGGGCUACACGUUCUAUCGUGUAGCUCAUUUUCUCUAUAGUGUAAGGCACGUGUGAUGCACGCGCCUAUCAUGUAAGCUAUCAAAACUAAUUCUAUCAUGUAAGCUAUCAUGUAACCCCACUGCAACAUCUUUAUACCAUGUGGUCCCCCCAUCAUAAAGUAGGCUAUCAUAUAAGCUAUCAUUUAACCCCAUUGCGGAUGCUCUAAGAAGAUUAUUUGUGUAACGCCCUAAUUUUCAUAAACUUUGUAAUUUUAAAAAUUAAUAGAUAAAAUAAAACUUCUUGACUAUCAAAAUUUAAACUAAUUUAUAAAAAAAUCAAUUUGCCAAAACUAAAGAAGUAACAUAUAUAAAAAAAAAAAAAAAAAAACGAUAAACUAAAACUUAACAAGUUCCACUUAAAUUUUCUAUGCAAAAUCUUUAUCUCUAGUCAUUCU